rnacentral:rRNA from 1 species
GAGCACGUAGGUGGGUUUGUAAGUCAGAUGUGAAAGCCUUCUGUUCAACGGAAGAAUUGCAUCUGAAACUGCGAGUCUUGAGUGUAGGAGGGGAGAAUGGAACUUCUGGUGGAGCGGUGAAAUGCGUAGAUAUCAGAAGGAACGCCGGCGGCGAAAGCGAUUCUCUGGCCUAUUACUGACACUCAGUGUGCGAAAGCUAGGGGAGCAAACGGGAUUAGAUACCCCGGUAGUCCUAGCCGUAAACGAUGGGCACUAAGUAGAGGGAAUUACCGAUGUUCUCUCUGCCGUAGCUAACGCAUUAAGUGCCCCGCCUGGGGAGUACGGCCGCAAGGCUAAAACUCAAAAGAAUUGACGGGGGCUCGCACAAGCGGUGGAGCAUGUGGCUUAAUUCGAUGCAACGCGAAAAACCUUACCGGGGCUUGACAUGGUAGAAGUAGGAACCCGAAAGGGUAACGAACGGUAUCCAGUCCGUGACUAUCACAGGUGUUGCAUGGCUGUCGUCAGCUCGUGUCGUGAGACGUUGGGUUAAGUCCCCUAACGAGCGAAACCCUUGUUUUUAGUUACCAGCGGGUUAUGCCGGGUACUCUAGAAAGACUGCCGUCGUCAAGACGGAGGAAGGUGGGGAUGACGUCAAGUCAUCAUGGCCCUUAUGCCCCGGGCUGCACACGUGCUACAAUGGUCGGUACAAACGGAAGCGAAGCCGAGAGGUGAAGCGAAUCC